GUUGAACGCUGGCGGCAUGCCUUACACAUGCAAGUCGAACGGCAGCACGGGAGCAAUCCUGGUGGCGAGUGGCGAACGGGUGAGUAAAGUAUCGGAACGUGCCCAGUCGUGGGGGAUAACGUAGCGAAAGUUACGCUAAUACCGCAUACGAUCUAUGGAUGAAAGCGGGGGAUCGCAAGACCUCGCGCGAUUGGAGCGGCCGAUAUCAGAUUAGGUAGUUGGUGGGGUAAAGGCCCACCAAGCCGACGAUCUGUAGCUGGUCUGAGAGGACGACCAGCCACACUGGUACUGCGACACGGCCCAGACUACUACGGGAGGCAGCAGUGAGUAAUUUUGGACAAUAGGCGAAAGCCUUAUCCAGCCAUGCCGCGUGCAGGAUGAAGGCCUUCGGGUUGUAAUCUGCUUUUGUACGGAACGGAAAGGACUGCCCUAAUACGGUGGUCCCAUGACGGUACCGUAAGAAUAAGCACCGGCUAACUACGUGCCAGCAGCCGCGGUAACAC
rnacentral:rRNA from 1 species